UAGGGAAUAUUAGAAAUGGACGAAAGUCUGAUCUAGCAACACCGCGUGUGCGAAGAAGGCCUUCGGGUUGUAAAGCACUUUUUGGAAGGAUUAGGAAGGAAUGUACUUCCAGAAUAAGUCUCGGCUAACUACGUGCCAGCAGCCGCGGUAACACGUAGGAGGCAAACGUUAUCCGGAUUUACUGGGCGUAAAGCGUGUGUAGGCGGUUUGAUAAGUUGGAUGUGAAAGCUCCUGGCUUAACUGGGAGAGGUCGUUCAAAACUAUCAGACUUGAGAGUGGUAGAGGGAGGUGGAAUUCCGCAUGUAGUGGUGAAAUGCGUAGAUAUGCGGAGGAACACCAGUGGCGAAGGCGGCCUACUGGGCUCUAACUGACGCUGAGGCUCGAAAGUGUGGGGAGCAAACA
rnacentral:rRNA from 1 species